rnacentral:rRNA from 1 species
GACGAACGCUGGCGGCGUGCUUAACACAUGCAAGUCGAGCGAGGCCCUUCCUUCGGGAAGGUGUCCUAGCGGCGAACGGGUGAGUAACACGUGGGCAACCUGCCCUCAGCUCUGGGAUAACUCCGGGAAACCGGGCUAAUACCGGAUACGACCUCUAAGGGCAUCCGAAGAGGUGGAAAGUUUUUCGGCUGAGGAUGGGCCCGCGGCCUAUCAGCUUGUUGGUGGGGUGACGGCCUACCAAGGCGACGCGGGUAGCCGGCCUGAGAGGGUGACCGGCCACCACUGGGACUNAGGACACGGCCCAGACUCCUACGGGAGGCAGCAGUGGGGAAAUAUUGCGCAAUGGGGCGAAAAGCCUGACGCAGCGACGCCGCGUGAGGGACGAA